UGGGGGAUAUUGCACAAUGGGCGAAAGCCUGAUGCAGCGACGCCGCGUGGGGGAUGAAGGCCUUCGGGUUGUAAACUUCUUUUGCUCUGAACAAGGCAUGCUAAUGGGUGUGUUGAGUGUAGGGGUUGAUUAGCGCCGGCUAACUACGUGCCAGCAGCCGCGGUAAUACGUAGGGCGCGAGCGUUGUCCGGAAUUAUUCGGCGUAAAGGGCUUGUAGGUGGCUGGUUGCGUCUGUCGUGAAAGCUCAUGGCUUAACUGUGGGUUUGCGGUGGGUACGGGCUGGCGUGAGUGCAGUAGGCGAGGCUGGAAUUCCUGGUGUAGAGGUGGAAUGCGAAGAUAUCAGGAGGAAUACCGGUGGCGAAGGCGGGUCUCUGGGCUGUUACUGACACUGAGGAGCGAAAGCAUGGGGAGCGAACAGG
rnacentral:rRNA from 1 species